GGAUCUCGUAGAUAACAGACAAAUAAAAACAUUAUUUGUUUACAACGUCUUAUUCGUACGAGUUCGUUAAAGAGGGGAUUGAAGAGUGGGGAUUGUAUUUCACAAGCAUAUUGUAUUUUCGAAUAGAAUAGGAUCUCGUAGAUACAUAAACAGACAAAGAUAAAUAUUAUUUGUUUACAACGUCUUACUCGUACGAGCUCGUUGAGGAGGGGAUUGAAGAGUGGGGAUUGUACACACAAACACGCAAGAAAACUUAAAGUUUUAUUCAGUUAAUUGUCAACUUUCGGCUGAACUAGAUUUGUCGAAACUAAUACGGAGUGUAACUUACUAUAAAGAACAACAUAAAUACUACGAGACAUACUGUAUUCCUUUAACUCACAAUCUUCGGUUGCCUGAUUUCGACGUAUGCGAGGUUAAGCAUUGGGCAAGGUCGAAUUCGCUACGUGCACCCUUGGUAUUAUAGGAAGGCGAGCUACCCCAUUGGAUUAGGAGACCCCAUAGAGGGAAAAAUGUAAUAUAAAAGGCUUACUGGCUAAGCUGUUAAUAUGUUGUACGAGGACGUGUCCGAGGAGGAACUAUGUAUAUAUUACCACGCUGUUCAAACAUAUGUCGUUCAUGAUCGUGUUGAUGCAGAAGAUGGUUUGCGGAUUAUGAAAUCAACAAGAAACAAAAUAAUUGGAAUGCAAAGCAUUAUUGCAAAAGAAAACCUUAUUGUGACUAUAAUUUAUACGUAAUUUAUAUAUAAUUUAUCAUAAAAAUAAAAGUAACAAGGAGAUAAAAUUUCAAAAAUAUAAAAAAAUUUAGGGUAUUAAUAAAUACAUAAAUUUACAGAAACAUGUUUCUUUAUCAGACUCUACUUUGCUAAUUAAUAUCACGUAAAUACGUCGCAGAAGAAUAAAAUCAACAAUCUAAUCAAAUGUCGCAACAUAGAAUUAUUUCUUUGUCUCAACAUAAAAAGGAAAUAUUAAUCCCAGACAAAUAACGACGACAGAGAUUUAACAUGAUUUUCCUUAAGAAAUAUGCGGCGUCGGUGCAAAUAAAACUAGUCGACUGCAUUAGAUUAUAUAAUUCGCUUUGUGCAGCUAUAAUAAAUUUAGGCUACUUAGUCGAUAAAUCUCACCUUUUUGUUUUUUAAAGAUAAUUAUCUCUGUCGACAUGCACUAUUAGAACUUACAUAAUUAUAAUUAUAGAGAGGAAAAAAAAGAAAAAUUCUCGUUAUUAUAUAUAAUUCUAAACUUGUGUUAUCUAUUUAUCUGUGUAAAACUUUUGCAAGAGUAUUAGUACUUUAGUCACAAAAUAUAAUAUUUCUUACGUGAUAAAAUUAUAAUUGUUUAUUCUAUAAUAGUCGAUUUUAAUGUCAAUUAAGCAUUUAGCAAUUAAAUUUCUGUUUCUACAAAAAGACGAUAAUCAAUAAAACCACGAUUAAAAUAAAUUGGUAUUGGUGCAAUCACAAUCAUAAUACAUAGUUGGCAUGUUUAAUAUUAAACGGGCAAAGUGAGAACAUUGUACUUGUUGCACAGCUUAUAAAUUCUUCGCCAUCAUGUUUUCACAAUUAAGCUAUUAAUUUAAUUAUCCCAUUAAUCAACUAGCAUUAUUAGCUGACCCUAUUCCGGAUUAUUACUAGGUGCUCGGCAGCACAGUGUCUAAACGAGAUAAGGAACAAUGUAUUUAUCAGAUGCAUAUCGCGUGUCCGUCGCGAAUAAAACAAGCAUUAUAAAUAGAGUCGUAGCGCGGACAACACUUAAUAUAUUUGCGUUUGUAUUACGCCCUUGCCCACGGAGAGAGGACGGCUGUAAGCCGAGCGAAGAACAGAGAGAGGACGAGCAGCGGGACCGACGGCGUUCACGUGGCGACACGUGCCCGAAAAAUUAAUUGAGACAUGAAAUUUAUUUGGCGCUCACAAGUCGGAACCGAUCAACGUCUUUGAGUCGAUGAAAAUUUUACGCGGAUCGAUGCUGAAACGCGUUUGAAGUAACUAACAUCGUAUUUAAAGUGUAUGCAAUUUAUAUAUAAAAUGAUAUUAUAAAAAUAAAAUAUUUUUUGAUCGUUUUAAGGAACUUUAGCCUUAGUUUGCAGAAAAAAUAAUACCGGCGAAUAGUUAGAUUAUUUGGAUCAUAGGAAUAAGUUCUACGUGGUUUGAUAUUUUUGGCGAGAAUUUAUAGAUUAAAAUUAAGUUAUUAAUCAGAAUAAAUAUAAUGUUAGAAGAUUAUUUAAUAAUAAAAUUAGCAGUCAUUAUCUCCUGAUAACUACUAAGAAAUUAGAUGUCAAAAAUGAAUCAAUGUGAUUUAAAUCUCUGUCACUCAAUAUAUGACUGGAUAAAUACUAUGUUUUGAUGAUUUUGCAACGGCAAAUUUAAAAUCGUAGUAGAAUUGUGUUUUAUUUUUAGAAAUAUUGUAAUCAC